rnacentral:rRNA from 1 species
CAGCAGCCGCGGUAAUACGUAGGGUGCGAGCGUUAAUCGGAAUUACUGGGCGUAAAGCGUGCGCAGGCGGUUAUAUAAGACAGAUGUGAAAUCCCCGGGCUCAACCUGGGACCUGCAUUUGUGACUGUAUAGCUAGAGUACGGUAGAGGGGGAUGGAAUUCCGCGUGUAGCAGUGAAAUGCGUAGAUAUGCGGAGGAACACCGAUGGCGAAGGCAAUCCCCUGGACCUGUACUGACGCUCAUGCACGAAAGCGUGGGGAGCAAACAGGAUUAGAUACCCGCGUAGUCCCUGUCUCUUAUAC